AAUCCAUAGGUUAAUGAGGCGAACCGGGGGAACUGAAACAUCUAAGUACCCCGAGGAAAAGAAAUCAACCGAGAUUCCCCCAGUAGCGGCGAGCGAACGGGGAGGAGCCCAGAGCCUGAAUCAGCAUGUGUGUUAGUGGAAGCGUCUGGAAAGGCGCGCGAUACAGGGUGACAGCCCCGUACACAAAAGCGCAUGUGCUGUGAGCUCGAUGAGUAGGGCGGGACACGUGGUAUCCUGUCUGAAUAUGGGGGGACCAUCCUCCAAGGCUAAAUACUCCUGACUGACCGAUAGUGAACCAGUACCGUGAGGGAAAGGCGAAAAGAACCCCGGCGAGGGGAGUGAAAAAGAACCUGAAACCGUGUACGUACAAGCAGUGGGAGCACCCUUUUGGGUGUGACUGCGUACCUUUUGUAUAAUGGGUCAGCGACUUAUAUUCUGUAGCAAGGUUAACCGAAUAGGGGAGCCGGAGGGAAACCGAGUCUUAAUUGGGCGUUAAGUUGCAGGGUAUAGACCCGAAACCCGGUGAUCUAGCCAUGGGCAGGUUGAAGGUUGGGUAACACUAACUGGAGGACCGAACCGACUAAUGUUGAAAAAUUAGCGGAUGACCUGUGGCUGGGGGUGAAAGGCCAAUCAAACCGGGAGAUAGCUGGUUCUCCCCGAAAGCUAUUUAGGUAGCGCCUCGUGAAUUCAUCUCCGGGGGUAGAGCACUGUUUCGGCUAGGGGGCCAUCCCGGCUUACCAACCCGAUGCAAACUGCGAAUACCGGAGAAUGUUAUCACGGGAGACACACGGCGGGUGCUAACGUCCGUCGUGAAGAGGGAAACAACCCAGACCGCCAGCUAAGGUCCCAAAGUCAUGGUUAAG
rnacentral:rRNA from 1 species